GGGAGUCCCUGGUCAAAGACAUCUUCUGAAGCUCAUAACACGCUGGUCCAGGGAGUCCCUGGUCAAAGACAUCUUCUGAAGCUCAGUCAUAACACCCUGGUCCAGGGAGUCCCUGGUCAAAGCCAUCUUCUGAAGCUCACUCAUAACACGCUGGUCCAGGGAGUCCCUGGUCAAAGACAUCUUCUGAAGCUCAGUCAUAACACCCUGGUCCAGGGAGUCCCUGGUCAAAGACAUCUUCUGAAGCUCACUCAUAACACGCUGGUCCAGGGAGUCCCUGGUCAAAGACAUCUUCUGAAGCUCAGUCAUAACACCCUGGUCCAGGGAGUCCCUGGUCAAAGACAUCUUCUGAAGCUCAGUCAUAACACGCUGGUCCAGGGAGUCCCUGGUCAAAGACAUC